rnacentral:rRNA from 1 species
UACGUAGGGUGCAAGCGUUAAUCGGAAUUACUGGGCGUAAAGGGCGCGUAGGCGGUUUGUACAGUCAGGUGUGAAAUUCCCGGGCUCAACCUGGGGGCGGCACUUGAUACAUAUGGACUUGAGUGGGGAAGAGGGUCGUGGAAUUCCCAGUGUAGAGGUGAAAUUCGUAGAUAUUGGGAAGAACACCGGUGGCGAAGGCGGCGACCUGGUCCGUGACUGACGCUGAGGCGCGAAAGCGUGGGGAGCAAACAGG